UUUCCUUUGGCUCAGUCUGUAAAGCAUUCUACUAACAAUACAAAGAUUGUAGGGUUUGAACCCCAGGGAAAC